rnacentral:rRNA from 1 species
AUGAACGCUGGCGGCGUGCCUAAUACAUGCAAGUCGAACGAGUUCUCGUUGAUGAUCGGUGCUUGCACCGAGAUUCAACAUGGAACGAGUGGCGGACGGGUGAGUAACACGUGGGUAACCUGCCCUUAAGUGGGGGAUAACAUUUGGAAACAGAUGCUAAUACCGCAUAGAUCCAAGAACCGCAUGGUUCUUGGCUGAAAGAUGGCGUAAGCUAUCGCUUUUGGAUGGACCCGCGGCGUAUUAGCUAGUUGGUGAGGUAAUGGCUCACCAAGGCGAUGAUACGUAGCCGAACUGAGAGGGUGAUCGGCCACAUUGGGACUGAGACACGGCCCAAACUCCUACGGGAGCAGCAGUAGGGAAUCUUCCACAAUGGACGCAAGUCUGAUGGAGCAACGCCGCGUGAGUGAAAGA